rnacentral:sRNA from 1 species
GGCUUGGGGAAGGAAAGUGGAGGGGGAGGCGGUGGCGACGUCCAGCCUGAGAACCUCAAGAGAGGGAGGUGACGGGACGCUGAGAGGAAGAGACCUGGGAAAUUAAGUUUCUUGCGGAGUACGGUGGGGAUUGCAGCUGCUGAGCAGGGAUUCUGGAAAGCAUUGCGUACCUGAGCCCCCAGCAUGGCGGGCCUAAAGCGGCGGGCAAGCCAGGUGUGGCCAGAAGAGCAUGGUGAGCAGGAACAUGGGCUGUACAGCCUGCACCGCAUGUUUGACAUCGUGGGCACUCAUCUGACACACAGAGAUGUGCGCGUGCUUUCUUUCCUCUUUGUUGAUGUCAUUGAUGACCACGAGCGUGGACUCAUCCGAAAUGGACGUGACUUCUUAUUGGCACUGGAGCGCCAGGGCCGCUGUGAUGAAAGUAACUUUCGCCAGGUGCUGCAGCUGCUGCGCAUCAUCACUCGCCACGACCUGCUGCCCUACGUCACCCUCAAGAGGAGACGGGCUGUGUGCCCUGAUCUUGUAGACAAGUAUCUGGAGGAGACAUCAGUUCGCUAUGUGACCCCCAGAGCCCUCAGUGAUCCAGAACCAAGGCCUCCCCAGCCCUCUAAAACAGUGCCUCCCCACUAUCCUGUGGUGUGCUGCCCCACUUCGGGUCCUCAGAUGUGUAGCAAGCGGCCAGCCCGAGGGAGAGCCACACUUGGGAGCCAGCGAAAACGCCGGAAGUCAGUGACACCAGAUCCCAAGGAAAAGCAGACAUGUGACAUCAGACUGCGGGUUCGGGCUGAAUACUGCCAGCAUGAGACUGCUCUGCAGGGCAAUGUCUUCUCUAACAAGCAGGACCCACUUGAGCGCCAGUUUGAGCGCUUUAACCAGGCCAACACCAUCCUCAAGUCCCGGGACCUGGGCUCCAUCAUCUGUGACAUCAAGUUCUCUGAGCUCACCUACCUCGAC